UGUACCAUGCACUAUGGAGAUUUUUCAUGGGAGACUCACUGAAGCAGAUGCACACAGAUACUUUCAGUAGCUUAUCGACGGUGUUGAUUUUUGUCACAAGAAAAGGAGUCUACCAUUGAGACUUAAAGGAUGCUUAGUGGGUCAACUGUAGGGAUCUUUCCUUCUACAUACGACCUGUGGGACUCGCUUUUUGGUAAGUCAAUUAUCUGUUAAUUCUUCUAUUUCUGAAUCCUAGAGAAAAAUGGUCCCCAAUAGCUUAUGGUUUACUUGAAAAGUUCAUGAAUACUCCGGCAACAGAAUUCAAGGUGAUAUUCCAGAACAAUCAUAUCUAAUCGCUCUUUCGCAUGCUCUAUAUGUAUUCUUUUAGGGAGGGCAACCAUCUUUAGAGUAGCAAUUAGCUGAACCUGCCAAAAAAUCUUUUUGUUAGCCCUGAUUUGGGAGGAUUUCCCCAAACCAGCCAAUAAUAUUAUAUUGGUAAAAUUAAAAUAAAGUGGACAAGGAAAGGCGCCUUGUCAGGCAAAGAGAAGAGCUGAAGAUAGGAUUAGCUUCUAUCUAUAUUGCAGAGUUUGCUGGUACCAGGAAACACAAAAGAAAUACAAUACUCCUAUCUAGCACCUGUCUAGAUCUCCUUCCAGAAAGAAACCAUAGGCUGAAUGGUGGGGCCACCAGCAUAGCAUGAGUAUACAAUGAAAGCAGAUCAUAAUCACCAGCAUUAUAGCUGAUUUUAAAAAGUAAGUGUUACUCUGAAAGUUUCUCCUUUUCAGGGUCACAAAUGAUUGGAUUUUUUUGGUUAUAUACCAUUUGUUUGCUUGCAUUAUAGUUGCUUUUUUGUGGUUUGAAUCUAACAGGAUUUUUCCUACUUUUGUUGUAUUGUUUUUUU